rnacentral:lncRNA from 1 species
AUUUUGUUUCAAUAGAACAAACGAUAUUUAGUACAUUAAACUACUACUAGAUAUCAUAAACUUAUAAAACGAAAGAAACCUAAUACGAUACUCGUCACGAGUAUUUCGUGGCAAAAGAUCGAAAUAUAUAUCGAAAAAUAUUCUGCUUCCAUGUGGAUGUAGCUUUGGCUACAAUUUUUCGCGAACGCUUCAAUUUUGCGAACCUAUGCCGGAGAAGCGUGUGGAAAGAUUCGCGCGAAAGACAUCCGCGGAAAAGUAUACAAGCAAACGAAGAGAAUGGAGUACACGAGGCGUUAGACGAAUAGAUUGAUCCGUUCGUUCAAGGAGAAGCUAAGGCCAAGCCGACCUUUACUUUUGGAUCGAAACGAACGAACGUUCGAUUUAAUGCACGAGACGGAAUUUUGAAGACGCCGCUUCCCGCAACAAACGGAUCCCCACACGUUUUCACGCCUUUUAUUUACGCGAUACAUGUGUUACGCGAAAGCUUUUGGAAAUUUCACGACGCUCAACGCGAUUAUAUCGUAACAGCUUUGGAUGAUCGCUGUUAUUUGCUUACUAUGAAAACGGAAAAUGAUCCGAUUCGCCUCGACCUACUCUACGUAUGUUGACAAUAUCGUGGAUCGUGCGCUGGAUCUUCCACCGUUAAGAAAGAUACG